rnacentral:rRNA from 1 species
UGGGGGAUAUUGCACAAUGGGCGAAAGCCUGAUGCAGCGACGCCGCGUGGGGGAUGAAGGCCUUCGGGUUGUAAACUUCUUUUGCUCUGAACAAGGCAUGCCUUUGGGGUGUGUUGAGUGUAGGGGUUGAUUAGCGCCGGCUAACUACGUGCCAGCAGCCGCGGUAAUACGUAGGGCGCGAGCGUUGUCCGGAAUUAUUGGGCGUAAAGGGCUUGUAGGUGGCUGGUUGCGUCUGUCGUGAAAGCUCAUGGCUUAACUGUGGGUUUGCGGUGGGUACGGGCUGGCUUGAGUGCAGUAGGGGAGGCUGGAAUUCCUGGUGUAGCGGUGGAAUGCGCAGAUAUCAGGAGGAAUACGGGUGGCGAAGGCGGGUCUCUGGGCUGUUACUGACGCUGAGGAGCGAAAGCGUAGGGAGCGAACAGG